rnacentral:tRNA from 1 species
GGGGAUAUGGCGGAAUUGGUA